CACGUACCGUUAUGGGCUGCUGUAAGGAGAAAGACAGGGAGGUUCAGGGUGAAGCUAUGAAUUAUACAUGGCAAUGUAUUAAGCAGAAGAAAAUAGCUGAUGCAAAUACAGAAAAAGAAGAGGACUAAAGAGUACCACUUCUUUCCAGAGAGAGUGGUUCUUUACCUCAGGGUCACGGUCCUUCUCCCUACAGGCUCGGACCUCAUUGUACAGCUUGGAGGAAGAGAUGGGAGCCAGAAAGGAAGUGUACUCCCCGGGGAUGCUCACACCAUCAUCUGCACAGCAGGAGAGUCAAAUUAGUUCCAGAGGGAGGGAAAUGCAUACAGCUUUAUCCGCCGGUCAGCCUGCUUGGCUGCCCGCAGGGAAGCGUUCACCAGGGGUCCCCGUCCUGCUCCCAGCACCAUCAGUACCCUAAGAAAGAAAGGGAAGAGUCAAGCAGACUUGGCAUAUACAGAUAUAGGAGGUAAGAGAAGCCACACCCAUCCCAGGAUUCUCAUGGACUCACCCACUGCAAUCCUCUUACUAUAGUCACACAAAGUCCGGAAGUUGUGCCACCUGUUCAGUCAAAUACAGAAAAGUACAGUCAACUAGAUAUGGCCGACCAAUCACCACAGCUCAA
rnacentral:antisense_RNA from 1 species